GAUGAACGCUGGCGGCGUGCUUAACACAUGCAAGUCGAACGAAGCACUUUAUUUGAUUUCCUUCGGGACUGAUUAUUUUGUGACUGAGUGGCGGACGGGUGAGUAACGCGUGGGUAACCUGCCUUGUACAGGGGGAUAACAGUUGGAAACGGCUGCUAAUACCGCAUAAGCGCACAGCAUCGCAUGAUGCAGUGUGAAAAACUCCGGUGGUAUAAGAUGGACCCGCGUUGGAUUAGCUAGUUGGUGAGGUAACGGCCCACCAAGGCGACGAUCCAUAGCCGACCUGAGAGGGUGACCGGCCACAUUGGGACUGAGACACGGCCCAAACUCCUACGGGAGGCAGCAGUGGGGAAUAUUGCACAAUGGGCGAGAGCCUGAUGCAGCGACGCCGCGUGAGCGAAGAAGUAUUUCGGUAUGUAAAGCUCUAUGAGCAGGGAAGAUAAUGACGGUACCUGACGAAGAAGCACCGGCUAAAUACGUG
rnacentral:rRNA from 1 species